GAAGCGUAGCUCAGGUGAUAGAGUGGCGGCAAUGCCGUUGUGUCGUUGGUUUGAAUCCAACCGCCCGGUUUAUCA
rnacentral:tRNA from 1 species